UACGUAGGGUGCAAGCGUUAAUCGGAAUUACUGGGCGUAAAGCGUGCGCAGGCGGUUUUGUAAGUCAGAUGUGAAAUCCCCGGGCUUAACCUGGGAACUGCGUUUGAAACUACAAGGCUAGAGUGUGGCAGAGGGGGGGUGGAAUUCCACGUGUAGCAGUGAAAUGCGUAGAGAUGUGGAGGAACACCGAUGGCGAAGGCAGCCCCCCUGGGCUAACACUGACGCUGAUGCACGAAAGCGUGGGGAGCAAACAGG
rnacentral:rRNA from 1 species